rnacentral:snRNA from 1 species
AUUGCUUCUCAGCCUUUUGGCUAAGGUCAAGUGUAGUAUCUGUUCUUAUCAGUUUUGUAUCUGACACAUCUUAUGUUUGAGGACUAUAUAUUAAAUGGGGUUUUAUACUAAAA